GUUGACCUCGAAUCAGGUAGGAAUACCCGCUGAACUUAAGCAUAUCAAUAAGCGGAGGAAAAGAAACCAACAGGGAUUGCCCUAGUAACGGCGAGUGAAGCGGCAACAGCUCAAAUUUGAAAUCUGGCCCUCGGGUCCGAGUUGUAAUUUGUAGAGGAUGCUUUUGGUGCGGUACCUUCCGAGUUCCCUGGAACGGGACGCCAUAGAGGGUGAGAGCCCCGUCUGGUUGGAUGCCAAUCCUCUGUAAAGCUCCUUCGACGAGUCGAGUAGUUUGGGAAUGCUGCUCUAAAUGGGAGGUAUAUGUCUUCUAAAGCUAAAUAUUGGCCAGAGACCGAUAGCGCACAAGUAGAGUGAUCGAAAGAUGAAAAGCACUUUGAAAAGAGAGUUAAAAAGCACGUGAAAUUGUUGAAAGGGAAGCGCUUAUGACCAGACUUGGGCUUGGUUGAUCAUCCGGCGUUCUCGCCGGUGCACUCUUCCGGCUCAGGCCAGCAUCAGUUUGCUUCGGGGGAUAAAGGCUUUGGGAAUGUGGCUCCCUCGGGAGUGUUAUAGCCCACUGUGUAAUACCCUGGAGCGGACUGAGGUACGCGUUCUGCAAGGAUGCUGGCGUAAUGGUCAUCAGUGAC
rnacentral:rRNA from 1 species